UUCUAUUUCCCCACAGAUCAGCUACACCAUAGGCAGCAACAGCUUUCCCACACACUGCCCAGACAGUGUGCCUUGACCUGCCCUGGAGGGACCUUCCUAGGGCAAGAGAA
rnacentral:sRNA from 1 species